UCCACGUGGAAGGAGCGCUCCACGUGGCGCCUCCUGCUACCUGCCGCGUCCGCUGAUCCGGCUGAGGCCCCGGGCAGACCCGCAGCGCUGAGGGGAGGGAGCACGCCAGCAGCAAAAUGGAUUUCCCAAGGAGUUGUUUUGGUGCUGGUGGAGCAAACUCACGCCCCUAGCCAGCCUUCUCAGCAACUCGUGCCAAGAGUACUCGUUCACCAGCACCGCCCCUUUAAGAGAUUUCGACUGCAGACAUUUUUUUAACUUUUUAAAGACAGGAUGAAGAAUCCGAAAAGGGCUGGAGUGCAUGACCUCCAACUGAAGUUCUCUGAGGAGCUUCUAUCAAACUAAGCAACCAAGAAAUACAGAGGUUAGAUUGGGUUAGACUGGAAAGUGCCAUUAAGAACUUCUAAAAGUAAGACUGCAUAAAAUGAGGCCAAAAGAGAAGGAAAAUCCAAGGCAUAUUAUCUAAGAUGAUUUUAAAGACCAGGAUGUUAUAUACUGAAAUAUUAGCUGUGAGUUUUGGCCCUUAAGACCUGCCUGCUUUUUUUGGUUCCUGAACAUUUCUGACAUACACCUAAAUCCUUUAAAAUAUGUUUGUUUCUGUGAGUGGGUGUGUGGUAUGGUUUAAGUACCCAUAGAAAUUAUUUUAAUUUUAAAAUGUGUGCUGAGCACCUCCUUGAAAUAGAUGGUAACAGCCUGGUGAGCAAAGAUUUUUUUUUUUUAUUCUUGUAUCUCUAGACCCAGGCACUUAGCAGGCACUCAAUAAAUGUCUAUGAAAUAAAUCAAUCGUAAAUCAAAUCAUGCUCAAUACAAUAAAAUCAUUUGGUGCAUUCAAGAAGAAUGUGAAAAAAAAAAAAAACGACUUAUUGUCACAGUGAACUUUAGGUUUCAGUUCAGUCAUUUGUUUACCCAGCUAUUAGCAUUUUCCUGGUCACCUCCUUCAGGAAAUACUUAUCUUACAA